AUUGAACGCUGGCGGCAGGCCUAACACAUGCAAGUCGAACGGUAACAGGAAACAGCUUGCUGUUUCGCUGACGAGUGGCGGACGGGUGAGUAAUGUCUGGGAAACUGCCUGAUGGAGGGGGAUAACUACUGGAAACGGUAGCUAAUACCGCAUAACGUCGCAAGACCAAAGAGGGGGACCUUCGGGCCUCUUGCCAUCGGAUGUGCCCAGAUGGGAUUAGCUAGUAGGUGGGGUAACGGCUCACCUAGGCGACGAUCCCUAGCUGGUCUGAGAGGAUGACCAGCCACACUGGAACUGAGACAUGGUCCAGACUCCUACGGGAGGCAGCAGUGGGGAAUAUUGCACAAUGGGCGCAAGCCUGAUGCAGCCAUGCCGCGUGUAUGAAGAAGGCCUUCGGGUUGUAAAGUACUUUCAGCGGGGAGGAAGGGAGUAAAGUUAAUACCUUUGCUCAUUGACGUUACCCGCAGAAGAAGCACCGGCUAACUCCGUG
rnacentral:rRNA from 1 species